AGCACAACAAAUCCUUUCACUCAGGAAAGUCUCCAGAGGUGCAUGUCUAUUUAUAUCUACCAAUAGGUACAGUCCUCAGGUACCAGCCUUACAAUCACAAAGGAACUGAUGUUUCCUUUUAAUCAGAGUCACUGAUGGAAAAUACAGUUGCCUCUGGAUUCAUCAUUUUUAUGUAAUGGAGAUCCCUUUUUGGGCCUUGUGUUGGAAUGUUUUCACUAGACUGCUCAGCUUUGCUUCACAUCUUUAUCUUUCAGUUCUCAAUCUUUAUUGAACCUUCGGCUUCUUUUUUUUUUCUUCAAGCCAUGCCCACAAUGCUUGGCUUCCCUACCUGUGCACUGCAAACCUGCUGACUUCCUGCUCAGUGAAACUACAGCUCUCUGCCUCCUUCAAGCGAACGCACCCUCUCUGUAUGGCUUUGGCGUCAUUGGCAUCCUGCUGCAGCUUUGGAAGAAGUCAUCUUUACAGCAACAGAAGCUGGGGGAGGCCGACAUGGGAGCAGGUGCUCACUGUGCGGAACACUGGUGUCUUUUGCCUUCUAUCCUCGAACAACCCUCCAGAAGCCUCACUUCGAGGAUGUUGUUGGUUAAUUGUUUCAUACUCAAUAUCAUGCUCAUUUACCUUUGCCAAAAGUCAUAGAACCAGUUGUGCAAGUUUCAUUUUAAGCCAUGGUUGUUGGACCUUGGACAAAUUAGAACAUGUAUUUUCUCAUCUAUAAACCUCAGAGAGGCAACUUGAUUAUCCAGAGAGUAUUAAAGAGCAAUGAUGGCAGUGUUUGUCCUUAUUUGAUUCCUCAUUUUAUGGAAACACCUUUAUUGUUUAAUACUGUUAAUUAUCAUCUCGAAUAUUGGUUCUUAGUAUAUACCACUCAUGAAAAUAAUUUUAUAAUUUAAUAAAGCUUUCUGGUUUCUAUUGAGGUGUAUUUUAUUUUGCUUUGUUUUUCUGAUUUGACCAAUGGAUUUGAUGUUUUGUUAUACUUCUUAAUUUUUAAUAUUUAAAAUUUUAUUAAUAUUUAACUAGUUUUGUGUUUAAAAGAUGAAACUUUAUUUGGUCAUGGUGGAAGUUAAUGAGGCACUAAUUUCUAUUAAGGAAUAAUUGAAGGUUUCCAAAUCUGUAUUUGUUGAUCUGUAGUUUUCUGUUGGUAUUAUGCUAGUAUCCUUUGGUAUUAGGUUUGUAUUUGCUUUGUAAAUCAAAUGGGUUUGCUUUGUUUCUUCUGGGUUUUAGAUAAUUUUCUGCUGUGUGGAAACUUUCUAUUGCUAAAUGUUUACAAAAUUAGCUUUUAUAAUCAACCAGAUCUGAGGCUUCACUUGGGUCAUUCUUCAACAAAUUUAUGAACUACUUUUCGUAUUACAUAAUUAUUCUG